AGAAAGCAAAUCAACAAGACCAGCGAGCACCUCCUGUCCAGACGAGGGCUGGGCGCACUCGUGUGUUUGUCCUCAGGAGGCCUGCUUCUCUCCAGAUGACCGGUGAGAGGACUUCAAACGGCCUGUGGCACACAGGGUGAGAUGUGUGUUUGGUGCAAAGCGCUCCUGAAGUCCGUGCGUUCUCCGCGAGCCUUCCAAGCCCUCUCGCCGGCCAGCGCUGCAAGUGCUUCGCACCCAGGGACUGCCGGCCACGCCCACCUCGGGCGCCUGUCUCCACUGCCAGUGUCCUGGACUCCAGCCUGCAGGAGGGGCUGGGCGCCCAGCCUUCUUCAUGGACAUGGUGGCUGCAGGACACGCCCGGGGGGAAGUCACUGCCUAGACUGAGCUCCACCCCCUCAGAGAAUCAGCACCUGUCAGAUGCAGGGCACCAGCAGAGCCCACCCCCCGCUCAGGCCAACGCGCUCCCCUCCAUGCUUCCCCCCAAAGCUUCCCUCUGGCUGCCCAGACCCAGACGGGCUUGGCUUCACCGAGGCAGGAUCCGAGCCGCGGCAGGAGGGCUGACGUCAUCCGGCUGCUGGUUCCGGCUCCCCCCGCGUCGUGGCCCACAGACCUGCCCCUGGUCACACUCUGUGGCUGAGGGCGGAGGUGGAGCUCUCCCGCAGUGACCGCUCUGCGUUCCUGUACCUCGGCGACGCUGACUUUGGGCCUCUGCCCAGAGGCACGACGGAGCGAUCCUGUGAGCUUGGCGCGGUGCGGUUUGCUGUGCAGGUGACCCACGCUGGGUCACGGCUCCAGCUCAGGCCUUGCUGGCCAGUGGCAGUCACCCCCCCAGUCUACUGCUUGGAGGCUGCCUGGGUUCCGAGCCGCUGUCGCCGUGACCUGGCCAGGUGGCUGGGCGGCUCAGGGAGGGGUUGUCUGCACUCACUGUGUGUGACACGGAACAAAGGUCCAGGAAGGAGGGGGCCCGCCCCAGCCCCCCAGCUGUUGGUGAGCGUGGGCACCGCUGUGUCCUGGCCAGGCCUGGUAAAUCGGCUGCUGAUGUCAGCUUCUGCAGGGGACUCCUGGGGGGCAGAGGGCAGUUGUGGCUGGGGCGUCUGGCUGAGCCCCCGGGUUAACAACUGGGUCCCCGAAGUCCCAUGUGAUGGGUUUGCGGACGGCGGGCCCAGGGGGCACCCCGUCCACCCCAGCCAUGAACAGCACGCUGGAACGUCAGGACGUCCCCUGGGGGCUGCCCUCCCCCGUCCGUCCCACCUGCGGCCAGGAUGGGCAGGGGCCGGGGGGGUGCGACGCUCGCUCUCACUCUCGCCGCUUCCUGGCAGAAACAAACAGGGCUGCGCGCAGCGAGCAGCGGGCGCCUGCCCUGCAUUAAUCAGGCCCUAAUGUAGCUGCCAGGGCGCCCACGCCGCACUGCUCGCGAGGCAAUUAACUCGAAAAUGGAAUUGAUGUGCAUUGAUUUUUUUAAUAAAGUUAUUGUAAUAUAUUCA
rnacentral:lncRNA from 1 species